rnacentral:rRNA from 1 species
UAGGGAAUCUUCGGCAAUGGACGGAAGUCUGACCGAGCAACGCCGCGUGAGUGAAGAAGGUUUUCGGAUCGUAAAGCUCUGUUGUAAGAGAAGAACGAGUGUGAGAGUGGAAAGUUCACACUGUGACGGUAUCUUACCAGAAAGGGACGGCUAACUACGUGCCAGCAGCCGCGGUAAUACGUAGGUCCCGAGCGUUGUCCGGAUUUAUUGGGCGUAAAGCGAGCGCAGGCGGUUAGAUAAGUCUGAAGUUAAAGGCUGUGGCUUAACCAUAGUACGCUUUGGAAACUGUUUAACUUGAGUGCAAGAGGGGAGAGUGGAAUUCCAUGUGUAGCGGUGAAAUGCGUAGAUAUAUGGAGGAACACCGGUGGCGAAAGCGGCUCUCUGGCUUGUAACUGACGCUGAGGCUCGAAAGCGUGGGGAGCAAACAGGAUUAGAUACCCUGGUAGUCCACGCUGUAAACGAUGAGUGCUAGGUGUUAGACCCUUUCCGGGGUUUAGUGCCGUAGCUAACGCAUUAAGCACUCCGCCUGGGGAGUACGGCCGCAAGGUUA